UGGGGAAUAUUGCACAAUGGGCGAAAGCCUGAUGCAGCAACGCCGCGUGAGUGAUGAAGGCCUUCGGGUUGUAAAGCUCUGUACUUUUGGGACGAUAAUGACGGUACCAAAGGAGGAAGCCACGGCUAACUACGUGCCAGCAGCCGCGGUAAUACGUAGGUGGCAAGCGUUGUCCGGAUUUACUGGGCGUAAAGGAUGCGUAGGCGGAUUUUUAAGUGAGAUGUGAAAUACCCGGGCUUAACUUGGGUGCUGCAUUUCAAACGGGAAUCUAGAGUGCGGGAGAGGAGAAUGAAUUCCUAGUGUAGCGGUGAAAUGCGUAGAGAUUAGGAAGAACACCAGUGGCGAAAGGCGAUUCUCUGGACCGUAACUGACGCUGAGGCAUGAAAGCGUGGGUAGCAAACAGGAUUAGAUACCCUGGUAGUCCACGCCGUAAACGAUGAGUACUAGGUGUAGGAGGUAUCGACCCCUUCUGUGCCGCAGUUAACACAAUAAGU
rnacentral:rRNA from 1 species